UACGGGAGGCAGCAGUGGGGAAUAUUGCACAAUGGGCGAAAGCCUGAUGCAGCUAUGCCGCGUGUAUGAAGAAGGCCUUAGGGUUGUAAAGUACUUUCAUCGGGGAGGAAAAAACAAAACUAAUAAUUUUAUUUCUUGACGUUACCCGAAAAAGAAGCACCGGCUAACUCCGUGCCAGCAGCCGCGGUAAUACGGAGGGUGCUAGCGUUAAUCAGAAUUACUGGGCGUAAAGAGCACGUAGGUGGUUUUUUUAAGUCAGAUGUGAAAUCCCUGGGCUUAACCUGGAACUGCAUUUUGAAACUAAAAUACUAGAGUAUCGUAGAGGGAGGUAGAAUUCUAGGUGUAGCGGUUGAAAUGCGUAGAUAUCUGGAGGAAUACCUGUGGCGAAAGCGGCCUCUAAACGAAUACUGCAACUGAGGUGCGAAAGCGUGGGAGC
rnacentral:rRNA from 1 species